rnacentral:rRNA from 1 species
UACGUAGGGCCGAGCGUUAUCCGGAAUUAUUGGGCGUAAAGCGCACGUAGGCGGUUUGUUAAGUCGGAUGUGAAAUCCCUCGGCUCAACUGAGGAAGUGCAUCCGAAACUGGCAGGCUUGAGUACUAAAGAGGGUCGCGGAAUUCCCGGUGUAGAGGUGAAAUUCGUAGAUAUCGGGAGGAACACCGGUGGCGAAGGCGGCGACCUGGGUAGAUACUGACGCUGAGGUGCGAAAGCGUGGGGAGCGAACAGG